rnacentral:rRNA from 1 species
UACGUAGGGUGCAAGCGUUAAUCGGAAUUACUGGGCGUAAAGCGUGCGCAGGCGGCUUUGCAAGACAGAUGUGAAAUCCCCGGGCUUAACCUGGGAACUGCAUUUGUGACUGCAUGGCUGGAGUGCGGCAGAGGGGGAUGGAAUUCCGCGUGUAGCAGUGAAAUGUGUAGAUAUUCGGAAGAACACCAGUGGCGAAGGCAGCGAAUUGGCGCUAUAUUGACGCUCAUGCACGAAAGCGUGGGGAGCAAACAGG